UUACUAUCUUCUCUGUCUCAAAAUUUUGUCUUAGAUUUGUUUAGAUAUAAAUGUACCUAGUCAUGUUUUAGUAUUUAGUUACAUCCAUUUCUAGAAAAACCUAAGACAAGAAUUUUGAAAUGGAGGAAGUAUUUU
rnacentral:pre_miRNA from 2 species